GGGAGGUUGGCCGAGUGGUUUAAGGCGUCAGAUUUAGGUAUUCUGAUAUCUUCGGAUGCGUGGGUUCGAACCCCACACCUCUCA
rnacentral:tRNA from 1 species